AGGGUUUGNUCCAUGGGCUCAGGACGAACGCUGGCGGCGUGCCUAAUACAUGCAAGUCGAGCGAACCAAUGGGAGCUUGCUCCCUGAGGUUAGCGGCGGACGGGUGAGUAACACGUGGGUAACCUGCCUGUAAGAUUGGGAUAACUCCGGGAAACCGGAGCUAAUACCGGAUAACAUUUUGAACCGCAUGGUGCAAAAUUGAAAGAUGGCUUUUAGCUAUCACUUACAGAUGGACCCGCGGCGCAUUAGCUAGUUGGUGAGGUAACGGCUCACCAAGGCGACGAUGCGUAGCCGACCUGAGAGGGUGAUCGGCCACACUGGGACUGAGACACGGCCCAGACUCCUACGGGAGGCAGCAGUAGGGAAUCUUCCGCAAUGGACGAAAGUCUGACGGAGCAACGCCGCGUGAACGAUGAAGGCCUUCGGGUCGUAAAGUUCUGUUGUUAGGGAAGAACAAGUACCAGAGUAACUGCUGGUACCUUGACGGUACCUAACCAGAAAGCCACGGCUAACUACGUGCCAGCAGCCGCGGUAACACGUAGGUGGCAAGCGUUGUCCGGAAUUAUUUGGGCGUAAAGCGCGCGCAGGCGGUUUCUUAAGUCUGAUGUGAAAGCCCACGGCUCAACCGUGGAGGGUCAUUGGAAACUGGGAAACUUGAGUGCAGAAGAGGAGAGUGGAAUUCCACGUGUAGCGGUGAAAUGCGUAGAGAUGU
rnacentral:rRNA from 1 species